GUAGAGAUCUUGUCCGUGAAGUGAGUUGCAAAGUCUGAGGCGGUCAAGUUAGUAGGUGGAGGAGGAACAGCAGGGCGAAGAAGAGAGUUAAAUGUGUGAAAUAGUCAUUUGGGUUCGCAGGAGAGUGUGGUUAUGAGAGUAUUGAAGUAAUUAACUUUUGUAGAGGAAAGAGCCAAGCUGUAUGAGCUCAGCAUAAAUUUAUAGUGGAGAAAGUCAGAUGAACAGUGAGACUUUCUCCAACAGCGUUCAGCAGUUCUGGAGCAUUUUUGGAGGUAUCGAGUGAGCUUGGUGUGCUGAGGGUUGUUGUUGGGGGGGCCUGCAAAUUAUAAAUU